AUCUGGAAACUACAGCGUGCAAUCACCACCUUGGACAUGGAGUGGAUUCUUCCCCACUGUCUGAAGACAAGGCUGCGCUCCGGGGAAGAGAAGGAUCUAGGCAGGGAGCAGGAGCCUGAUCGACGCUGGUGUUUCAGUGUGGAGGAAGUCAACUGGAACCAAUGGAACAGAAACCUGGGUGUAGUUACCGAGGAUCCUGGGAAAUGCAUGCCUGUACCUUCCCCAACUAAACUUC